CAAAGAAGUAACGGCUCCUUUCCUCAAAGAAACAACCGCUGCAUGAGGUGAGUAAAGACUCCGAAAUAAAUACACAGAUUUAUUAUUUGUAUACUAAUUCCUACACUGACACAUUAGACUGUAUGUUUUUUUAUUUAAAAUGUUUGUUUUAACCAUUAAUUUAAUAGCCCCGAUGCUUACGAGUCUAAUGCACUUUGUGGGACGAAAUGGAGACCACAAACACAAGAAAAUCCACUAUGACUUCUCUAAAAAUCUCAAAAGGUUCACAGAGCAGCACUAUUUAAUAAAGAAAUGUGGCUCUGUAGUGGACACCUGUGAGGCAGUGGACAGACAGCUGCUGAUGUCUGAUGCUGGCUGACAAUAAACAGACCUCUGGACGUACCCCAUCUUUUGCAGGUGUGUAAAUAAGUGAACGGUAGCAGACACACACCAGAAACCCUUCUAAAACAUUCAAUUAUUUAUAGUUUAUUAACAGUUCUUUUUUAUUAUUAUUGUUUUCAGAGAAAUUCUAACAUUGGCCUUCCUGUAACAUGAUGAUCCUGCUGUUCCGUACUGUAUAUGAUGAGGUAAGUAUGAG